AAGACGUCUGCUUAGUCCGAGAUUCACAGUGUGAGAUGCCUUACGUUAGAUCAUUCAAUUUUCUUCUUUUUUUUACAAAACAAAAUGGGUAACGCUAAGAGACGGAGUGGUCCAAGACAGGUAGACCUGAAGGUCUUGACCCCACAGAUUUCAAACGAAGAUUUUGCAGUAAAUGAAGGUUGAGUUAAGGAAGAUGAGACAGAAAUCGGCAUCAUGUUGUUGAGUGAUUCAUAGCAACCCAAAAUCUAUAACAGGAUUCCCAUUCAGGGAACCUAAGUACCAAUGCUGAUGUAAAAAUUUAGAGAAAAAUGUACAAGAGUUGCUUUUAUUUUUGCAUUUCAGUGGUAUUAUAGAAAGAAAGAAGUAUGGGGAAAAUCUAAUUAGGCUAAUCAUUCUUCUGCAUUAGUCUGAUUUUCCUGAGCUGGUGAUGGAGCCAAUAGAUUUGUUUCUCUUAUGCUCCAGUGGAUCACUUUGAGUUUGUUCCACAGUUGCUCUACACCAGUAUCAAAAAUGACGCAAAACAAAAUUGUCAAAGCGUAGAUGCCUGCUGAGAGGAAGAAAACUGUUUUCCAUUGAUCAAUGGAGUCCUUGGUGGUCUAGAAGUGGUUGUAACGAUUCUGUUACUGUCAGAUUGGCAACAUAGGAUGCCAGAAAUCCACAGAUGCUGGCAACGCAAUUUGUGACACCAAUCAUAGUACGGGAGUUGCAUCCGGUUACCAUCAGGCUGCAAAUACACAGCCCCGUACCUCAGGGUGAUCGUACCGAACCAAGUACGUUUACAAUGUCGAUGAUGACGACGAAGUUUCGUUCCGCGAUGGCGAUGUUAUCGUCGAUUGCAAACCGAUCGAUGAGGGAUGGAUGAUGGGCAAAGUCCUGAGGACAGGCCGAUCCGGAAUGGCACCGACAAACUACGUCGAACCUAUCAACUAUUGUUUCGCUCUUUUUUGCUCUUAACCCUGAUCCUUUGGUUCUCUGUCUCAAGUUGUUCCGCCCCCUUUCUUUAGCCGUUAGCAAUUUCUGUUGUUGUUCAGUAGUAAGGACAUUACCUCAGGUAGCCGGCCUAAAUCCAAAUCCGGAUCAUGCGGUGUAAUGUGUGAAAUGGCUGCCAUGAUUUCAAUACCAUCCAACAGGUUGUUGUUAUAGUAAUCGUGAAACCUUCAAACAAGACUACUAGUCACGCGGGAGAAAAUCAUGUGAUUGUGACUUAUUUUUAAAAGACCAUUUUCAAUGAGUUAUCAUUACUUGCGUAAAAAAAAGAUCCCCUUACGUGAAAUAGUGGACUUCAAUUUCAUCCGACGUCAUUUUGAAAAUUUCGUCUUCGGUGUACAUUUCUUUCAAAUCUUCUUUAAAGUGCCUGUAAUAGGAAAAAAGAAAAAUAUUCAAAUUUA